CAGCAGCCGCGGUAAAACGUAGGGUGCAAGCGUUAAUCGGAAUUACUGGGCGUAAAGCGUGCGCAGGCGGUUUGUUAAGACAGAUGUGAAAUCCCCGGGCUCAACCUGGGGGCUGCAUUUGAGACGCGUAGUCUAGAGUGUGAAAGAGGGUCGUGGAAUUCCCAGUGUAGAGGUGAAAUUCGUAGAUAUUGGGAAGAACACCGGUGGCGAAGGCGGCGACCUGGUUCAUAACUGACGCUGAGGCGCGAAAGCGUGGGGAGCAAACAGGAUUAGAUACCCCCGUAGUCCCUGUCUCUUAUAC
rnacentral:rRNA from 1 species